rnacentral:rRNA from 1 species
GACGAACGCUGUGCGGCGUGCUUAACACAUGCAAGUCGAACGGAAAGGCCCUGCUUUUGUGGGGUGCUCGAGUGGCGAACGGGUGAGUAACACGUGAGUAACCUGCCCUUGACUUUGGGAUAACUUCAGGAAACUGGGGCUAAUACCGGAUAGGAGCUCCUGCUGCAUGGUGGGGGUUGGAAAGUUUCGGCGGUUGGGGAUGGACUCGCGGCUUAUCAGCUUGUUGGUGGGGUAGUGGCUUACCAAGGCUUUGACGGGUAGCCGGCCUGAGAGGGCGACCGGCCACAUUGGGACUGAGAUACGGCCCAGACUCCUACGGGAGGCAGCAGUGGGGAAUAUUGCACAAUGGGCGGAAGCCUGAUGCAGCAACGCCGCGUGCGGGAUGACGGCCUUCGGGUUGUAAACCGCUUUCGCCUGUGACGAAGCGUGAGUGACGGUAAUGGGUAAAGAAGCACCGGCUAACUACGUGCCAGCAGCCGCGGUGAUACGUAGGGUGCGAGCGUUGUCCGGAUUUAUUGGGCGUAAAGGGCUCGUAGGUGGUUGAUCGCGUCGGAAGUGUAAUCUUGGGGCUUAACCCUGAGCGUGCUUUCGAUACGGGUUGACUUGAGGAAGGUAGGGGAGAAUGGAAUUCCUGGUGGAGCGGUGGAAUGCGCAGAUAUCAGGAGGAACACCAGUGGCGAAGGCGGUUCUCUGGGCCUUUCCUGACGCUGAGGAGCGAAGGCGUGGGGAGCGAACAGGCUUAGAUACCCUGGUAGUCCACGCUGUAAACGGUGGGUACUAGGUGUGGGGUCCAUUCCACGGGUUCCGUGCCGUAGCUAACGCUUUAAGUACCCCGCCUGGGGAGUACGGCCGCAAGGCUAAAACUCAAAGGAAUUGACGGGGCCCCGCACAAGCGGCGGAGCAUGCGGAUUAAUUCGAUGCAACGCGUAGAACCUUACCUGGGUUUGACAUGGAUCGGGAGUGCUCAGAGAUGGGUGUGCCUCUUUUGGGGUCGGUUCACAGGUGGUGCAUGGCUGUCGUCAGCUCGUGUCGUGAGAUGUUGGGUUAAGUCCCGCAACGAGCGCAACCCUUGUUCACUGUUGCCAGCACGUUAUGGUGGGGACUCAGUGGAGACCGCCGGGGUCAACUCGGAGGAAGGUGGGGAUGACGUCAAGUCAUCAUGCCCCUUAUGUCCAGGGCUUCACGCAUGCUACAAUGGCUGGUACAGAGAGUGGCGAGCCUGUGAGGGUGAGCGAAUCUCGGAAAGCCGGUCUCAGUUCGGAUUGGGGUCUGCAACUCGACCUCAUGAAGUCGGAGUCGCUAGUAAUCGCAGAUCAGCAACGCUGCGGUGAAUACGUUCCCGGGGCU